rnacentral:lncRNA from 10 species
GUUUUCUGUGCUGUGAUAAGGUUUGUUCGUUUGCAUUUGGCGUCUGCGUUGCCUUUAUGAGCUGUAGCGCUCACUGCGAAAAUUGUCACUUUAUUUCUGAAGUGGGUGAGAUGACGAGCCCGGCAGGAGGAACGAAACACUCAUCUGUGAAAGUUGCAACUUCAUUUCUGAAGUAGGUGAGACGACUCUGUGAAAGUUGCAACUUCAUUUCUGAAGUGGGUGAGACGACGAGCCCAUUAGGAGGAACGGAACACUCACUGCGAAAGUUGCAAUUUCAUUUCUAUAGUGGAUUUCCCAUUUUGGCCACGCUUCACAUGCGACACAUAUAGAAGUACACAGCAGCUUCCCCCCUUACCUGCAAGGGAUAUGUUCAGAGAUCUCCAGUGGAUGCCUGAAACUAUGGAUAGUACUGAAUCCUAUAUAUACUGUUUUUUUCUAUACAUAUAAUAAAGUUUAUAAAUUAGGUACAGUAAGAGAUUAAAAACUCAAAAUAUGAGUUAAACUCAUAUGCAAUAUAAUAUAUGCAAUAAAAUUGAAAUACUGUCAAACUCU